rnacentral:lncRNA from 1 species
AUUGGGAGAGGUCCAAUACAUAUCCGAUUUCAGACAGAAUCUUAUCUCACUGAGCAGAUUGGAUUCGAGAGGCUAUAGGACGGUAGCUGGUGGAGAAAUCUUGAAGGUGCUAUGCGACAAUAGGAUUACUCAAGAGGAGAAGAAGGGGAAGAGAGGAUAUUAUUACCUAACGGGGAGUCCAGUGCGAGGUGGAGCUUCAGGAGCUAGGAGGAGCCCAGAGCAAGGUGGAGCUCCAGGUGGAGGUGGAUCGAGCAUGAGACAGGAGACUCGGGAGGAUGAGAAGCAAUAUCGCAAGGUGAGAUUUCUAUUACCACAGGAUGAUACCCCGAGCAAGUCU